AGUUUAGCAGCUUAGUUGAUAAAGUACUCGUCUGAUAUACAAGCAUCGUGGGUUCGAAUCCCACCUGAGCAU
rnacentral:tRNA from 1 species